AAACGGGGUGGCAAAUUGAGCGGAGAGACCAUAGAAGUUGCCAUUUUUGAUUUAGCAACCAAUGAAGAAGAACGGCUCCUCCAGGUUUGCGCUUUUUCAGUCUGAUGAUUUCCUGAUAUAUGUGUGUUUCCAAGUGCUACUUUGUGAAAAGUCCCCGUAUAUCUUGAGUUGUAGUCAAUAUAGUUGGUUUGGUUGCAUAAAUCCUUGAAAUGUUUUCCUUGCAGUAAAUUUGUGCUUAAUCUGUUUAAGUUGGUUCAAACAAAUUAAAUCUUCUACGUCACAUUCUCUUUUGUGUAGUUUGUUAUUGACAUUUCUAUUCUCCAUGUUUUAGAGCAUACGACUUUCAGCUUGAUGUCAGCAGAUAAAGAGGAAAUCAGUAAAAUGCAUACAACAACAAAAGAAACUGUCAUAGUCAUCCAUGAGCUAAAAGAUUAAUUUCGUAGGAGGAAAUCUUUACAAGGUUUACAAGAUGUGAAAUCCAGUGGAAUUGUGAUCUAACUGAAUAGGGAUGGUGAGUCUUGAUAAAGAGGAUAUUGGGCUUGCUCCGGGAUAUGCCGGCUGGGAGAAACUACCUGUGAUCCUUAAAAUUUUAUAGGAUGAUGUUGUAACUUUCUGACUGAUAUAGUCUUGUGCUUUGUUACUAGCAGGAAUUUUUUUUUCCUUUAUUUUUUUCUAACACAAUAGCAGAGCAGUUACAUGUCCUUUUUUCAUCAUAAUUUUUUUCCUCUCAGUGAACUUUCUCUAGCUGAGCGACUAAAAUUUUUAUAAGUUAGAAUAUAAUAUGAUUCAUGUCAUUUAUAUCAUAUAUAGUAUAGAACAAUUUGGAGUUUGAAAGCUAUGAAAACUAAGGAACAAAAUAUAAGUUGAAUAGAUAUGAAUGAUAUUUUAGAAAAAAUAAAUUAUAUGACAAAAAUGAGAACAAUUAAAUAAUAAAGUCAAAUCCAAAAUGCUGUAAUAUAUAUAUAUAUAUGUUAGGAAUAUAAUGUAAUAUUAUAUAUAUAUUUAACAAAGGCUGCAUAACCGUAAAGUUAACUACAUCAAUUAAUCUAUUUAGUUAAUUAAAAUAUACAAAAUACGGAGUUGGUACUUUCUUCUUUAGAUAAAAGAAAAAAAUGUGAAUUUUUUUUAAAAAAAAUUAAGUUGUAAGUUUAAUAAUGGUUAAUUAUUUUUUCAUCUUACUCACAAUUCUGUAUAUAAUUUUGAUUAUAAAAUAUGAUAAUAUCUUUUCUAAUGAUUUUAAAUUUGCUUUACAAUAUAACCAGUUUCAAUAUAUGUAUAUGUAUGCGUAUAUAUAUUAAAAUAAAAACUCACAAAUUUUAGAAUAGCAGCCCUUACUAACACUUAACUCAUUAAUUAUUUUAUUCUUACAGAUUCAGAAGAACCGAUCAUGUCAAGAAAAAAAUCGUGUAAGAGAAAAAUAUUUGAGAAGAUGGAUAUUUGGGGUUUUAAAAGUAUUUGUGAUCUGAUAUAUAUCGUCGAGAUAAUAAUAAUUAUAUCCAAUCCACGAUGUAUCUAUUUGGAUAUUAGGUAUUCGAAUAUCCAAUUUUUUAUUCUAAUUUUGAUUCGAAUAAAUUAAAUUAAACUAAAAAUAAGUACAAAAUCCAAAAUUAUUAUAAAAUAAUAAUAUUUAUUAUAAAAUAUUACUUUUAGCAUAUUGAUGACGAAAUGAUCGAUUUAAAGCAGAAUACAUUUAACUUACAAAGUUAAAGGUAAAACAACCUUUAACUGAUGAAAUCAACGCUUAUAAUAUUUCCCAAACAGAUGGAGUCUCAACAGAGUAUCUCAGCUUAGACAGCUUUGAGAUAUCAGACACUCAUUCUAAACAGAAUGAAACUUUAUAUGCAGUUGAGUAUCUUAAUUCUUUAGAUUUUCCUGGUUUGCCUUCUCAUAAGCUCACGCUCAAAAUUAGGACUCCUAUUAUGCUUAUACGGAACAUUAAUCAGAAAGGAGACUUAUGCAAUGGUACACGGUUAAUUAUCACUUAUUUGGGCCACCGGAAUUCUAGAAGCGAAAAUUAUCACCGGUUCACACGUGGGUAAAAGAGUUCUCAUACCACAAAUCGUCUUCCUCAAACCUGAAACAAAUUUCCCGUUUACUUUGCGAAGGCACCGGUUUCCUAUCAGACUAUGUUAUGCUAUGACGAUAAAUAAAAGUCAAGGAUAAAGCUUAAAGGGGUCGUUCUGUAUCUGCAAAAACCGGUUUUCACUCAUAGACAACUAUAUGUGACUUUUCACGUGUUACAACCAAGUCUGGUUUGAAGGUCAUUCAAGGAAAAGAUGCACAUGCUCUGAAGGCGAAGAACAUAGUCUGCAAGAAAAUUUUCAACGAUCUAACAUUGUAUCAAGGUAUGGAGACAAUUAUGUUUUCACAUUCAAAUAAAUAUGUAACUGGUUUGUUAAUUUUAAAUUUAACAUUUUAUGUUUUCUUAUGUUUUCUUAUGUUUAGACGUUCAAGAUGGUAUAAUAUCUUUAUGUUUAGACGUUCAAGACGAUAUAAUAUCUUCUCCCUCCCAUGCAACAUCAUCAAUCUCAAAGUAACUCCUAUCAAGUAAGUCAACUUAAAUUAUAUUCUAACAUGCAAAACAUGUAUUUUUACAUUUUAAUCGCUGAUUUCUAUUCAAUUUUUACAGGGCUUAAUUUUUCAACCAUUCUUCUUUUUGGAAAUUCUAUACCAAUUUAUCAGAGUCUAUUUAUCUCAUAUAUUGUCCAAACUUUGUUUGAUAAUUAAACUUUUUCAAUGUUUUUUUACGACAACAAAACUCACAAUCACUGAUUUUGCACAGAUCAGUUUUUCACACUAAAAUUAUCGCAAAUGAAAAAAUAAAAAUCCAUUUUCCGCGCGUAGCGCGGAGAUGAUCUCUAGUAAAUUAUAGAGGAGCGUAGUAGUAGUAGAUCGAGAAAGCAGACCGUCUCAAAAAUCGUACUUGUCUCACAUAAAUGCAGUCGUACUCUCUUUCACUUAACGCUCAAACGAAGAUGAAAUCUGAAAAAAAAAAAAUAUCUGAAAUAGUUUGGAAACUAUUAGAGUUUUGUCGAUGAAGAACACUCUGUAGCCAUAAGUCCGAGAAACAUCUUUCUUGAUUUUCCAUAUCUUCCAUAUUUUGAUAUUGAGCCAUCGUAGACAAUGCCAGCUUCGAUUUUGCGAUUGUGGCUGCAGGUAAAGCUUAUAACCUUAUAGUGACUAUGCCAGCUUUGAUAAACUUUCAAAUUACAUGCACUUGGAGUUUUGAUUAUGCUAACGAAUCCAGAGAAAAGUCUCGGACGUGCAGUGGAUUAAGGUAAAGAGAUUGGUCUGAAGACAAAGAACGUAUAUAAGUUCAAACAGUUUUAUAUUAAGAUAGUAAUAUAAUGUAACUAUAAUGUAAACGGGGUGGCAAAUUGAGCGGAGAGACCAUAGAAGUUGCCAUUUUUUAUUUAGCAACCAAUGAAGAAGAACGGCUCCUCCAGGUUUGCGCUUUUUCAGUCUGAUGAUUUCCUGAUUUAUGUGUGUUUCCAAGUGCUACUUUGUGAAAAGUCCCCGUAUAUCUUGAGUUGUAGUCAAUAUAGUUGGUUUGGUUGCAUAAAUCCUUGAAAUGUUUU
rnacentral:lncRNA from 1 species